rnacentral:rRNA from 1 species
AACCUGGCCCAUACAGGGGGAUAACACUUAGAAAUAGGUGCUAAUACCGCAUAACAACAGAAAGCGCAUGCUUUUUGUUUGAAAACCAAGGUGGUAUGGGAUGGACCCGCGUCUGAUUAGCUGGUUGGCGGGGUAAAGGCCCACCAAGGCGACGAUCAGUAGCCGGCCUGAGAGGGUGGACGGCCACAUUGGGACUGAGACACGGCCCAAACUCCUACGGGAGGCAGCAGUGGGGAAUAUUGCACAAUGGGGGAAACCCUGAUGCAGCGACGCCGCGUGAGUGAAGAAGUAAUUCGUUAUGUAAAGCUCUAUCAGCAGGGAAGAAAAUGACGGUACCUGAGUAAGAAGCCCCGGCUAACUACGUGCCAGCAGCCGCGGUAAUACGUAGGGGGCAAGCGUUAUCCGGAUUUACUGGGUGUAAAGGGAGCGUAGACGGCAGUGCAAGUCUGGAGUGAAAGGCGGGGGCUCAACCCCCGGACUGCUCUGGAAACUGUACGGCUGGAGUGCAGGAGAGGUAAGUGGAAUUCCUAGUGUAGCGGUGAAAUGCGUAGAUAUUAGGAGGAACACCAGUGGCGAAGGCGGCUUACUGGACUGUAACUGACGUUGAGGCUCGAAAGCGUGGGGAGCAAACAGGAUUAGAUACCCUGGUAGUCCACGCCGUAAACGAUGAUCACUAGGUGU